UACGUAGGGGGCGAGCGUUGUCCGGAUUUAUUGGGCGUAAAGAGCGUGUAGGCGUCCAGGUAGGUCCGUUGUGAAAACUCGAGGCUCAACCUCGAGACGUCGAUGGAAACCAUCUGGCUAGAGUCCGGAAGAGGAGAGUGGAAUUCCUGGUGUAGCGGUGAAAUGCGCAGAUAUCAGGAAGAACACCUAUGGCGAAGGCAGCUCUCUGGGACGGUACUGACGCUGAGACGCGAAAGCGUGGGGAGCGAACAGG
rnacentral:rRNA from 1 species